rnacentral:lncRNA from 1 species
UAUCGAUGAGCAUUUUCACUGAACCCACAUGUUAACAGUAACACUGAGCUUGAUUCAGUAUUUAAUUCUAUAGAACAUAAAUGAGAUCAAAAAUUAAAUAUUAAUAAAGUUUUAAACAAAGCUAUCAAAUUAAGUAUUUAUGUGAUUCCUUAUUAGGAAACACUAUCUAUGGUUAUGGAUACGAAGAUAUUAGUAAAGUUGAUUUUGUUAUGUAUCAAUAUGUAAAUGAAGAAUGAUUGUUACGUAUUAAGUAACUGAGAUAUAAGAAUUAAAUAAAAAUAAAAUAGACAAACUAAUAAAAGUAAGUGAAAAAAACAUUAUAUAAUUUAAAAUUAACUGCAUAAAAGAAAUAUGUUUUACCAGAAAUGUUUGUUUCCUUCUGGCCACAUCAAAUUCAUGAACUUUUCACACUCUUCAACAUUUGUUGCUCGAUCAAUCCCCAAGCCUUCGUGGAGAGGAAUAGCUUCAAUUCUGCCAACAUAGCCAUGGGCAGGUUUGUGACUAACAUUCUGGACUUUAACUUCAAGUGGGAGACUAAAUAACUCUUUCAUUUGAUUAAUGAUUGUGUUAUGAUGUUCUAAGGAAACUUUGUCGUACUCCGCAAUAAAACAACCAUAUUCUUCGAGUGCUCUUCGAACUUCUUCGCAUUUGGAUAC